rnacentral:rRNA from 1 species
UCCUGGCUCAGAUUGAACGCUAGCGGGAUGCUUUACACAUGCAAGUCGAACGGCAGCACGAGAGAGCUUGCUCUCUUGGUGGCGAGUGGCGGACGGGUGAGUAAUAUAUCGGAACGUGCCCAGUAGCGGGGGAUAACUACUCGAAAGAGUGGCUAAUACCGCAUACGCCCUACGGGGAAAGGGGGGAUCGCAAGACCUCUCACUAUUGGAGCGGCCGAUAUCGGAUUAGCUAGUUGGUGGGGUAAAGGCUCACCAAGGCAACGAUCCGUAGCUGGUUUGAGAGGACGACCAGCCACACUGGGACUGAGACACGGCCCAGACUCCUACGGGAGGCAGCAGUGGGGAAUUUUGGACAAUGGGGGAAACCCUGAUCCAGCCAUCCCGCGUGUAUGAUGAAGGCCUUCGGGUUGUAAAGUACUUUUGGCAGAGAAGAAAAGGCAUCCCCUAAUACGGGAUGCUGCUGACGGUAUCUGCAGAAUAAGCACCGGCUAACUAC